GGCAGGGAUGAAGUAAUUAAAUUAAUUACCAAACAGAUAAAUAAAAUCCAGAUUUGGGCAGAGCGUUCCAACAGACCGGGGCUCGCCUGUAAAUCAGGAUAAAAGGAAGGUCAGAACACAGUGCUGUCUCCUACGUAGUGGAAACGUUUCCCUGGCUCCCCCGGACCUCUCAAAGGGGAAGCGGGUUCUAGCAGGUUCUGGAAGAGCACAUCCUCUUACACAGGACCUGCCCCUCUGCCAGAAACGGGCGUCUCUGGAUGAACCCUUUUCCAGUUCAGGCCACGCAAACCCCUGAACAGCAACCUAAGGGCCACCUGAUCUGAUUUUAGCUUACCCAUUUCCAAACUCCUGUUUCCCUAUUAUUCAGUUUGAAAACUUUACUAUUCUUUUUCCCUUUUGCUCAUUUCUCUGACGUUUCAUUCAAGAGCAUUCUGUAUGAUUUCUCAGCAAAGAGCUUUCCGGCUGGGGCUUCAUAGCCAAAGUUAAGUGGUAUACAGAGAUUACCACUUUUUUAAUGAGCUAAAUGGUGAAUCGUCUUCAGUUUGUUUGUUUUUUUAAUUCACCUGAUUCAUAUUUCCAUCACCUCCCAUUUAGAAAGGUCUACUCUUCCUUGGUCAAUCCUAUCACACAAACGUAUUCCGAUCUGUUGCUUCUGUAACCAUGGUGAUGACCACAGCUCUAGCCGUCACCUGUGAGAGAGUGGGUCCUGGAUCAAUAGUGUCAGCCCUGGACUUUUCAAACACUAAUCUCAUGUGUCUAACAGUCUAUGAGACAAAUCUAUUGGGGUGACUUGGUGGAAUUUUAAAUAAGAUUCUCCCACAAACCAAAAGAAUCUCUACCUAAACAGCUCACCAGCUUUUAGCUGUUAUUCAUACAUCACCUUCUUCAAUCAUGAAGGCUGAACGCUUCCAGUUUCCUUUGCUCUCUUUCUCCAUCAAAAUCAGACUGGUCCUCAGGUCCUGACAACUGUGUUUUCAGUUACCUGGCAACUCAAGUCCAGAUACAUCCCACCCACUGAAGGCAGUCCUCCGUCCCUUCUCAACUUUGAUGGCAACGUAUCCGUCCCCACCCUGGUUUCCUACCAAAGGACUGUCUCCCUUCUGACGGUGCAAUAUUGCUACAAGCCUUCAUUUCCACAUCCGGGGAAAGGAGCAGUCGUAAGGCAGGUAAGAUUUUUCUUUCUUUUUCUUUCUUUGGGUUCUUGAUGGUUUCUGUUUUGACAAGACCUCUUUAAAGACCUGCCAGCUCAGCUGUAAAAAUUUGCUCUGGAUUGAAACUUGGCAUUUAUAGUUGCAGUACCAGAGCAGGCUUUUUCU
rnacentral:lncRNA from 9 species